CAGCAGCCGCGGGAAUACGUAGGGUGCAAGCGUUAAUCGGAAUUACUGGGCGUAAAGCGUGCGCAGGCGGUUAUAUAAGUCAGAUGUGAAAUCCCCGAGCUUAACUUGGGAACUGCAUUUGAAACUGGCAAGCUAGAGUCUUGUAGUGGGGGGUAGAAUUCCAGGUGUAGCGGUGAAAUGCGUAGAGAUCUGGAGGAAUACCGGUGGCGAAGGCGGCCCCCUGGACAAAGACUGACGCUCAGGUGCGAAAGCGUGGGGAGCAAACAGGAUUAGAUACCCCAGUAGUCCCUGUUUCUUAUAC
rnacentral:rRNA from 1 species